rnacentral:rRNA from 1 species
CCGGGACCAUCCGGUAAGGCUAAAUACUCCCGAGAGACCGAUAGCGAACCAGUACCGUGAGGGAAAGGUGAAAAGCACUUCGAACAGAAGAGUGAAAUAGUUCCUGAAACCGUGCGCCUACAAGCGGUCGGAGCUCGUUAAUGAGUGACGGCGUGCCUUUUGCAUAAUGAACCUACGAGUUGCCUUUGCCGGCAAGGUUAAGUGUGACGACACACGUAUCCGAAGCGAAAGCGAGUCUGAACAGGGCGUAUAGUCGGCAGUGGCAGACGCGAAACCAAGUGAUCUACCCUUGGCCAGGUUGAAGGCUGGGUAACACCAGCUGGAGGACCGCACCAAUAAGCGUUGAAAAGCUUCUGGAUGAGCUGAGGGUAGGGGUGAAAGGCUAAUCAAACUUGGAGAUAGCUCGUACUCCCCGAAAUGCAUUUAGGUGCAGCCUUGCGGGUUACUGAUGUGAGGUAGAGCGACUGAUAAGAUGCGAGGGCUUCACCGCCUAUCAAGUCUUGACAAACUCCGAAUGCGCAUCAGUUCUACCGCAGGAGUGAGGGCAUGGGUGCUAAGGUCCGUGCCCGAGAGGAGAAGAAUCCGGACCACCUGCUAAGGUCCCGAAAUGACAGCUAAGUUAAACUAACGAAGUCUGACUGCUAAGACAGCUAGGAUGUUGGCUUGGAAGCAGCCAUUCAUUUAAAGAGUGCGUAACAGCUCACUAGUCGAGGAGUCGGGCGUGGAUAAUAAUCGGGUAUUAAGUUGUCUACCGAAGCAGUGGGAUCAUUAAUAUGAUCGGUAGGGGAGCAUUCCAGUCAGCGUCGAAGGCGUACCGUGAGGUAUUCUGGAGCGUCUGGAAAAGCAAAUGUAGGUAUAAGUAACGAUAAAGGGGGCGGGAAACCCCCUCGCCGAAAGACUAAGGUUUCCUGAUCAACGCUAAUCGGAUCAGGGUCAGUCGGGUCCUAAGGCUCAGCCGAACGGCGAUGCCGAUGGCAGAAACGGUUAAUAUUCCGUUACUACCUUCAGGAGUGACGUGGAGACGCAGUAGUGACAGUGCCGCCAUCUGACGGAAUAGAUGGUUGAAGGGUGUAGGAGUCGAUCAUGGCAGGCAAAUCCACCAUGAGAUCCGAACCUGACAGUAUGCCGCGUCCUUCGGGACAAGGCAAUAGUGCGCGUAAGCAUGCUGCCGAGAAAAUCCGCUAAACUUAAUCCUGCAGGUACCCGUACCGCAAACGGACACACGUAGUCGGGUUGAAUAUACUAAGGCGCUUGAGUGAUUCACGGUUAAGGAACUAGGCAAACUGACCCUGUAACUUCGGGAUAAAGGGUCCCUACCCUUUUAUGGGAGGGCGCAGAGAAUCGGUCCAGGCAACUGUUUAACAAAAACACAGGGCUGUGCCAAAUCGAAAGAUCCAGUAUACAGCCUGACACCUGCCCGGUGCUGGAAGGUUAAGAGGAGAUGUCAUCGAUAAGAGAAGCGUUGAAUUGAAGCCCCAGUAAACGGCGGCCGUAACUAUAACGGUCCUAAGGUAGCGAAAUUCCUUGUCGGGUAAGUUCCGACCUGCACGAAUGGUGUAAUGAUCUGGACGCUGUCUCAACCGUGAGCUCAGUGAAAUUGUAGUAUCGGUGAAGAUGCCGAUUACCCGCGAUGGGACGAAAAGACCCCGUGAACCUUUACUAUAGCUUAUCAUUGAAUCUGGGCACGUGAUGUGUAGGAUAGGUCGGAGGCUUUGAAGCAGGUACGCCAGUAUUUGUGGAGCCGCUGUUGAAAUACGACCCUUUAUUUGUUUGGAUUCUAACCCGUGGAUACGGGGACAUUGAUUGGUGGGUAGUUUGACUGGGGUGGUCGCCUCCAAAAGCGUAACGGAGGCUUCUAAAGGUGCCCUCCGGCCGAUUGGUAACCGGCCUUAGAGUGUAAUGGCAUAAGGGCGCUUGACUGGGAGACUAACAAGUCGAUCAGGUAGGAAACUAGAGCAUAGUGAUCCGGUGUUUCCGUAUGGAAGGGACAUCGCUCAAAGGAUAAAAGGUACUCCGGGGAUAACAGGCUGAUCCCUCCCA